GAGUUUGAUCAUGGCUCAGGAUGAACACUGGCGGCGUGCUUAACACAUGCAAGUCGAACGAAGCGCCUUAUUGAUUUUCUUCGGAACUGAAGAUUUGGUGACUGAGUGGCGGACGGGUGAGUAACGCGUGGGGUAACCUGCCCUGUACAGGGGGAUAACAAUCAGAAAUGACUGCUAAUACCGCAUAAGACCACAGCACCGCAUGGUGCAGGGGUAAAAACUCCGGUGGUACAGGAUGGACCCGCGUCUGAUUAGCUGGUUGGUGAGGUAACGGCUCACCAAGGCGACGAUCAGUAGCCGGCUUGAGAGAGUGAACGGCCACAUUGGGACUGAGACACGGCCCAAACUCCUACGGGAGGCAGCAGUGGGGAAUAUUGCACAAUGGGGGAAACCCUGAUGCAGCAACGCCGCGUGAGUGAAGAAGUAUUUCGGUAUGUAAAGCUCUAUCAGCAGGGAAGAAAGUGACGGUACCCGACUAAGAAGCCCCGGCUAACUACGUGCCAGCCGCCGCCGUAAC
rnacentral:rRNA from 1 species